AGCGAACGCUGGCGGCAGGCUUAACACAUGCAAGUCGAACGAUCCUUCGGGAUAGUGGCGGACGGGUGAGUAACACGUGGGAACGUGCCCUUAGGUUCGGAACAACACAGGGAAACUUGUGCUAAUACCGGAUAAGCCCUUACGGGGAAAGAUUUAUCGCCUUUGGAGCGGCCCGCGUCUGAUUAGCUUGUUGGUGAGGUAAAGGCUCACCAAGGCUACGAUCAGUAGCUGGUCUGAGAGGAUGGCCAGCCACAUUGGGACUGAGACACGGCCCAAACUCCUACGGGAGGCAGCAGUGGGGAAUCUUGCGCAAUGGGCGAAAGCCUGACGCAGCGACGCCGCGUGUGGGAUGACGGCC
rnacentral:rRNA from 1 species